rnacentral:rRNA from 1 species
AACACAUGCAAGUCGAGCGGGGAAAGUAGCUUGCUACUUAACUUAGCGGCGGACGGGUGAGUAAUACUUAGGAAUCUACCUAAUAGUGGGGGACAACAUCUCGAAAGGGAUGCUAAUACCGCAUACGCCCUACGGGGGAAAGCAGGGGACUCUUCGGACCUUGCGCUAAUAGAUGAGCCUAAGUCGGAUUAGCUAAGUUGGUGGGGUAAAGGCCUACCAAGGCGACGAUCAGUAGCGGGUCCGAGAGGAUGAUCCGCCACACUGGGACUGAGACACGGCCCAGACUCCUACGGGAGGCAGCAGUGGGGAAUAUUGGACAAUGGGGGGAACCCUGAUCCAGCCAUGCCGCGUGUGUGAAGAAGGCCUUUUGGUUGUAAAGCACUUUAAGCGAGGAGGAGGCUCCCAGUAUUAAUACUACUGGAGAGUGGACGUUACUCGCAGAAUAAGCACCGG